UAGGGAAUCUUCGGCAAUGGACGGAAGUCUGACCGAGCAACGCCGCGUGAGUGAAGAAGGUUUUCGGUUCAUAAAGCUCUGUUGUUAGAGAAGAACGUUGGUAGGAGUGGAAAAUCUACCAAGUGACGGUAACUAACCAGAAAGGGACGGCUAACUACGUGCCAGCAGCCGCGGUAAUACGUAGGUCCCGAGCGUUGUCCGGACUUAUUGGGCGUAAAGCGUGCGCAGGCGGUUCUUUAAGUCUGAAGUUAAAGGCAGUGGCUUAACCAUUGUACGCUUUGGAAGGCGGAGGACUUGAGUGCAGAACGGGGGAGUGGAAUUCCAGGUGUAGCGGUGAAGUGGGUAGAUAUAUGGAGGAACACCGGUGGCGAAAGAGGCUCUCGGGUCGGUAACUGACGCUGAGGCUCGAAAGCGUGGGGAGCAAACAGG
rnacentral:rRNA from 1 species